rnacentral:rRNA from 1 species
UACGUAGGGUGCAAGCGUUGUCCGGAAUUAUUGGGCGUAAAGAGCUCGUAGGCGGUCUGUCGCGUCGAAUGUGAAAACCCGGGGCUCAACCCCGGGCCUGCAUUCGAUACGGGCAGACUAGAGUUCGGUAGGGGAGUCUGGAAUUCCUGGUGUAGCGGUGAAAUGCGCAGAUAUCAGGAGGAACACCGGUGGCGAAGGCAGGUCUCUGGGCAUUAACUGACGCUGAGGAGCGAAAGCAUGGGGAGCGAACAGG